CGAGAAAAAGAGAAGGAAAAGAGGAAAGAAAAGGAGAAAAAUGAAGGAAAAGAAGAAGAAGAAGAAGAAGAAGAAGUGGGUCUUCAAGCUUGGAUUCUCCAUUUCUCCACUGAUUUAGAGAGGUGGGUGUAAGUAGGAUGAAUUAUCUUUUUGAGUUUAUGGAGAUUUUCUCAAAUUUAAGGUUUAGCAAAAUUAAAGAUUGUUGAUAUAUGUUUGAGGCAUUAAAAAUAACAAUAAUAUUAGUGUUGAAAGGAAGGAAAUGUGAAAUGUGUUUGUAAAUUAGAGUUUCAAUCUUUGAAUUAUUGUGUUUAUAUGAUAUAAAACACUUGAUUUAUGAUGAAUUAGAUUGGUAAAAGAAUUUUAGGUUAGAUUUUGGUAUUUAUAAUAAAUUUUUGAGCAAAAUUCACGUGCAAGUGCCAUUCCUGAAAUUCUACCAGAAAAGUGCUAUUUCUCUCAAUUGUUUUGAUGCCAGAUUUCAAUAUAUAGAAAUUGGUGCCAGAUCUAUAUUCUGGAAUUUUAGUGCUAUUUUUGUUAAACCUUGAAUUUCUAGAGUUUUAAAGGUUUGAAUGAAUUUAUAUGACAAAUAUUGAAGUCUAUGUAUUGGACUAACUAUGUAUAGGGAUUGUAUAUGUAAAAGGUUGUGAUUUUAAGGAAGUGUGAGUGGUAUAAUGGAUUUGAUAGUGUAUGAUGAUUAGUUGAUAAAUCAUUAAAGAGAAGAAAAGUUGGGGAAUUGGAAAUGUAAGAUUAAAUAUAAAAGUUGAGAAGUUAAGUUGUGGAUUUGUAUUAAUUUAAUUGAUAGGUUUUAAUUCGAGAAAUUCUACCGUUAUUUCAGGUAGGGACGUGGAAGCUCGGAAAGACUCAUCAAUUUAAUCAGAUUUCUAUCAAUAUAUCUGUGAGUGGAAAAAUAUAAAUAUUUUAAAGUAUUUAUAAAUUAAGAAUAUUACCAAAGUAUGUGCAAUUAUAUGAAUUAAUUGCUCCAUUAUGUGAUUACGAUGAAAGUUUCUAUUAUUAGGAUCCAUGCGGAAUUUCAAGGAUUAUUUGUGAUAUUGAGAAUUGUUUGGUAUGUAAGAUAUUUGAUAUUGAGGUCGACAAGAAAAGUACUCAUGAUUAUAUAUUUCUUCUAGUUCACUGAGAAGCUUUGGGCAUGUUCUAUAUUACAGUGAGGGGUCUUGGACCGGGUUGAAGGGGUCUUGAUCGUGUACAUAUAGUAAACUGAGUGGCCUUGAUCGUGUUCUAGAAUUGAUUAUCCUCUUGAGACCGACUUUCAUUCACGGAGAGGGCCAAAGGCGCGUGACGAAAGUUCUUAGCCCAAGGAGUGGAUUAAAAAUUUUAGGCAGGUGGUACAUUUUUUGUGAAUUUUUCAAUACAUUUAAUGUGAUGAGAAUAUAACAUGAUUACUAGCUUAUGUUUAUUUCAUGACUUGAGAUGAUAUUUCACCACGUUGUGUGAAUGUUUUACGUUUUGGUUAUAGUUAUAUGAUGUUAUCUUGUGAACUAUUCAAUGAUAUGAACUCAAUUUUCAAUAAAAAUGUAAAAUUGAAAAAUUAUAAUUAUUUUCGAACUUCUCCACUCACUAAACUAUCAACUCAUAUAUUUUCCCAUAAUUUUCCUAGAGGUAGCAAUUGAUUCAUUUUAGCUAGAAGGGCCUAAUGAUUUCGGAAUGAGAGACACACGACAUGUUGAGUGUUAUAACUCAUAUUGAUGAGGAUAAAGUAAAUAAUUUGAGCCCAUCUCAUUAUAUUUUACAUAGCAUUUGAUUUUGGUACAUUUUUGUAGUAACUCAUAAUCAGGUUUGGUGAUAGAUUUGACAUCUAGUUAGCUUCUAUCAUCGGCGCACGUCACGUUUCGGGUCCACUAGGGUGAUUUGGACGGGUCUUGUCAACACAUAGAUGAAUUUUCGACAAGUCCAAGUUAUAUAAAAUUAUUUUGACACGUAGAGCCAAAAAAUGAUUGUUUGAACUAUAAAAGCGUCGAAACAUCAUAACCUAAAGAACCAAUUCAUGCAUACAUUAGCAAAGAUUCAUAAAUUGAAAAUGAAAUAAUCACAUGCACCUCUAUGUGCCUUAGUUUGAAGCUUCUGAAUGGACGGAGUUGGACGGUGAAUGUUAUUUCCCGACAGCACCCAACGCUUAAGAAAUCUACCUCUCUCUCUCUCUCUUUCCCUUCUUCUCUGAUUUUUUUCCUAUUCUUGAAUAUAUCUCUGUGUGUAAAGUGUAUUUUCAUUUGUAGUAGAAAGGAUUAUUUGGGAAAAUGAAGGGUUAUCAUAUAGUCAGAAACCAUUGGUACUCAUUUCAAUUUAAGGAGGAUUAAAGGUGAGCUUUUAUGUUCCAUUUCAUGUGUGAAUAGGGAUGUCAAUAAAUCGAGCCGAACCUUGAGGUUCGGGUAAAGUGAGUGAGCUUUUUUUCGAGCUCGAGCCAGGCCGAGCAAAAACUCGACCAAAAAAAUUUUGUUCGACCCGAGCUUUUGGCUCAGGCCGAGUCGGGUAGGCUUGCUUUUUUUACCUCUUUUUUUUUUUUUUUUUAAUGGCUGCCUUUUAAGGUAGCACAGCUGCUGCCUAAAUUUGUUUUUUCCUUCUUAGGCUCGCGGGCUAGCUCGAGCUCGGCCCAUCCUCCCAAAAUGAGCCUCGACCCUGGCCGACUUAGGCUUUUCCCAAGCCAAGCUACGGGCGGCCUGAGUCGACGAGCCUAAUUACCAUCCCUAUGUGUGGAUUUUAAGGCAACUGUUUCUUAUCUUUCGUAACCUUUGUCAUUUUAAAUUGUUUUGCACAAAUAUAUAUAUAGGGAUGUGCAUGUUUGAAUUGAGGAAAAUGAAAUGGUUCAUUAAAUAAAUUAUAUCCUUGGUCUCUAUAAUUUAUUUACCUAAUAAAAUAAGGAAAUAACAACAUAAAUCUGUUUCUACUCUCAUUCUUAAAACUCAUAAUUUGGUCCCUUGAAAAAUAACACGUGUACAUAUCUAGUCAUGAAAAUAUAACUGUACAAAAUAAAUUUUCAUUGCCGGGUCAAAUCUUUGGGAAACAUUAAAUUCCAUCCUACCCGGUAUAAAUAUUUUUUCUUUUUAAAGAAAACAUGCAUGGUCGCUUGUUGAACCUCCAUGAGAUUUAAAUUUAUUUAAGACAUAUUGGACUAGUAUUGAACUUUCAUUUCUUAUGUAAGCCGAACAUGAGGUUUAUCUAUAGGCCUGGCUCAUGGUGCUUAAUUUUCACAUUUAAAAAUAUAAGCUUAUGUUUUUUUGUUUUUUUCGGGUUUUCACAUCCCUUACACCUUAAAAAAACUUCAUCCUCAAAAUUUACCAUAUGGUUGGGAAAAUAGGAUCAGAAGUUUGUUUUCAAUUUUGUCUUCUCUUUCCCAAUUAAUUUCUUUUCUUCCAUGAUCAAUCCAUUGUACCUUUAUUUUUUAAAUCUCUUUUUUCCGUAACAUAUGAUCAAAAUUAUGCACAUACUUCCUGAUCAUCAAUAUAUAAAAUACGAUUUCACCACAGAUAGUUCGGGCAACAAAAUCAACCAAUAAGCCACAUUCUCCCGAUCAUAUCAAGUAUUUCGAAAUGUCCAAUAUAAUGAGGUCGAGUUUGCCCUUCUUGUCGAACCUAAGUACAUCCUUCAUUGGUGUUAUGUUUAGAAAGACUUUAUCUCCAUCUUGAAAUUUCAAAUCAAUUUUUUGGUAUCCGCAUAGCUCUUUUUCUAUCUUACACUGUUUUUAUCCUAGUGCGGAUCUUCUCAGUUGCUUCAACUGUUCUUUCAAUGAUCUUUAGUACUAAAACUUUCUUUUCUUCGAUUUCAUUCUAAUGAAUAGGUGAUCUACAUCUUCUAUCAUAAAGAGGUUCAUGCAGUGCCAUUUCAAUAAUUGCUAGAAAGCUGUUAUUAUACGCAAAUUCCACCAAAGAUAGAUACAAUUACUAAUUGCAUCCCUGAUCCAAAAUAUAAGCUCUUAGCAUAUCUUUCAUAGUUUGAAUGGUCCUUUCAGAUUGACCAUCGGAUUUAGGAUGAUACAUUUUAUUGAAGCUCAGUUUCAUUUCCAUAGCUUCUUAUAAGCUCUUCUAAAACUUAAACGUAAAUCUUGGAUCUCUAUCAGACACGUUGGAGUUGGGGCAGCGUGCAAUCUUACAAUCUCUCUAAUGUAUAAUUGUGCUAGCUGAUCUAGACUGAAUGUCAUUUUCAUUAAAAAAAAAAAAUAAGCUGACUUGGUUUGACAAUCCCCUAAUACCUAUAUAGCAUUAUGACCCCUUGAUGACUUGGAAAAUCCUAGCUUAAAAUCCAUUAUGAUAUUCUCUCAAUUCUACUCAAGUAUGUCGAAUGAAUUUAACAACCCUACCGAUAUUUGAUAUUCUACUUUAACUUUUUGACACACUAUGCAUUUUGUCACAAAUAGGCAUAUGCCUUUUUUUUCAUAUUUCUCCACCGAAUGUAUCUCGAAAAUCUUGAAACACUUUCGUACCACCAAGAUGUGCAGCAUAUGAGAUAAAAUGAGUCUCUUCUAAUAUCUCUUCCGUCAAACCUUCAUUCUUAGACACACAAAAUUUUCCUUUAAAUUCAUUUUUCCUAUCAGUACUAAUCUUAUUGCUAAUCUUUUGCUAGAAUGGAUCUUUACACUGUGCAUCUAUGAUUCAAUCUUGAGAAUAGGUCGAACCAUUAAAGUUGAUAAAUGAGCGGUGACUUGAUCUAGCAUGGUAACCACUUUGAUUCGCAAAUUUUCUAAGACUUUGAUCAACUUCAUUUGAAUAAUAGGUAAUGACAACAAUUGUCCGUCGACUUUCUAUUUAGAUUAUCUGCAACAACAUUGGCCUUAAUCGGAUGUUAGUGAAUAGUGCAUUCAUAAGCCUCAACUAGCUCCAACCUCACCUCUAUCUCGUAUUCAAUUCCUUUUAUGUGAAAAAAUAUUUGAGACUCUUAUGAUUCGUGUAAAAAUCACACUUCCCUUCAUACAAAUUAUAAGAUUGUAUCUUUAAUGCAUGAAUUAUCGCCUUAAAUUCUAGAUCAUAUGUCGAGUAAUCUGCUCAUUUUUUUAACUGCCUCGAUCCAUAGGCAAUUACUUUUUCAUGCUACAUUAAUACACAUCCUAAACCUUAAUUGGACGUAUCACUAUACAUAACAAACCCUUCUAAACUCUCAAGUAUGGUUAACACAGGUGUUGUAAUCAAUAUUUGCUUUAAUUUCUAAAACCUUUGCUCACAUUUAUCUGUACAUUAAAACCUUACUCAUUUUCUUAUGAAUUAUAUCAUAGGUUCAACUAUCUUAGAGACAGGUGCUUGGUUUUAAUCAAGAUAGUUCAAGGGAAGUGACUAGUGAGGGCUUCAAAGUGGUAUGUCGGUCCAGCGGCCAAGGUGAUCGAAGUGUAGAGUUUUGGUGGUCCAAAAGUGGUGACUCUAACACUUCCGGCCAUUUUUUGUGCUUCGUCAUCCCAUUUUGGCUUGAAUUUUCGACCAAAUCGGUUGGUGUUAUGGUCGGAGCUUGGUUGGGUAGCGAAGAGAGAAGCGAGGGUUUCAAGGUGGUAUGUCGGUCCGGCGGCCAAGGUGGCAGGAGGGUGGAUUUUGGUAGUCCAUAAGUGGUGGCUCUAAGGUGGUUUAGGGGUUGGAUAGGUCAGUGUCUUCUGAGAAAUUUUUUGCAAAGUUCAAUGACCAUUUAGGUGAUUUUUAAAGUUCAAUGACUUUUGAGAAACCUUUUGCAAAGUUCAGUAACCAUUUAGGUGAUUUUUAAAGUUCAGUGACUUUUGAGAAACCUUUUGCAAAGUUCAAUGACCAUUUAGGUGAUUCUUAAAGUUCAGGGACCCCUUGAAAAUCUUUUGCAAAGUUCAGUGACUAUUGACAUAAUUAACCCGUAGACAGGUGAUAAAGUGAUAAAUAAAUUAUCGUCUCAUGGAGACUAUAUACUUAAUCUAGUUCCAAUUAAUGUUAACUCGAAUCAAAUAGCCA
rnacentral:lncRNA from 1 species